CCUACGGGUGGCAGCAGUGAGGAAUAUUGGUCAAUGGGCGCGAGCCUGAACCAGCCAAGUCGCGUGAGGGAAGACGGUCCUAUGUAUUGUAAACCUCUUUUGUCGGGGAGCAAAAGACGCCACGCGUGGCGUUCCGAGAGUAACCGAAGAAAAAGCAUCGGCUAACUCCGUGCCAGCAGCCGCGGUAAUACGGGGGAUGCGAGCGUUAUCCGGUUGUAUUGGGUUUAAAGGGUGCGCAGGCGGAAGUUUAAGUCAGCGGUAAAAUUGAGGGGCUCAACCUCGGCGCGCCGUUGAAACUGGGGGUCUUGAGUGAGCGAGAAGUAUGCGGAAUGCGUGGUGUAGCGGUGAAAUGCAUAGAUAUCACGCAGAACUCCGAUUGCGAAGGCAGCAUGCCGGCUCCACACUGACGCUGAGGCACGAAAGCGUGGGUAUCGAACAGGAUUAGAUACCCUAGUAGUC
rnacentral:rRNA from 1 species